rnacentral:rRNA from 1 species
UACGAAGGGGGCUAGCGUUGCUCGGAAUCACUGGGCGUAAAGGGUGCGUAGGCGGGUCUUUAAGUCAGGGGUGAAAUCCUGGAGCUCAACUCCAGAACUGCCUUUGAUACUGGCUAUCUUGAGUUCGGGAGAGGUGAGUGGAAUGCCGAGUGUAGAGGUGAAAUUCGUAGAUAUUCGGCGGAACACCAGUGGCGAAGGCGACUCACUGGCCCGAUACUGACGCUGAGGCGCGAAAGCGUGGGGAGCAAACAGG